rnacentral:rRNA from 1 species
GACGAACCGUGCGAACGUUGGUCGGAAUCACUGGGCGUAAAGGGUGCGUAGGCGGGUCUUUAAGUCAGGGGUGAAAUCCUGGAGCUCAACUCCAGAACUGCCUUUGAUACUGAGGAUCUUGAGUUCGGGAGAGGUGAGUGGAACUGCGAGUGUAGAGGUGAAAUUCGUAGAUAUUCGCAAGAACACCAGUGGCGAAGGCGGCUCACUGGCCCGAUACUGACGCUGAGGCACGAAAGCGUGGGGAGCAAACAGG